GACGAACGCUGGCGGCGUGCCUAAUACAUGCAAGUUGAGCGCUGAAGGUUGGUACUUGUACCAACUGGAUGAGCAGCGAACGGGUGAGUAACGCGUGGGGAAUCUGCCUUUGAGCGGGGGACAACAUUUGGAAGCGAAUGCUAAUACCGCAUAAAAACUUUAAACACAAGUUUUAAGUUUGAAAGAUGCAAUUGCAUCACUCAAAGAUGAUCCCGCGUUGUAUUAGCUAGUUGGUGAGGUAAAGGCUCACCAAGGCGAUGAUACAUAGCCGACCUGAGAGGGUGAUCGGCCACAUUGGGACUGAGACACGGCCCAAACUCCUACGGGAGGCAGCAGUAGGGAAUCUUCGGCAAUGGACGAAAGUCUGACCGAGCAACGCCGCGUGAGUGAAGAAGGUUUUCGGAUCGUAAAAACUCUGUUGGUAGAGAAGAAACCGU
rnacentral:rRNA from 1 species